rnacentral:rRNA from 1 species
GGUUUGAUCAUGGCUCAGAUUGAACGCUGGCGGCGUGCUUAACACAUGCAAGUCGAGCGGCAGCGCGGUAGCAAUACUGGCGGCGAGCGGCGAACGGGUGAGUAAUGCUUCGGAAUCUUCCUCGUAGUGGGGAAUAACCUGGGGAAACUCAGGCUAAUACCGCAUACGAACUACGGUUGAAAGCAGGGGAUCGCAAGACCUUGCGCUAUGAGAUGAGCCGAAGUCGGAUUAGCUAGUUGGUAGGGUAACGGCCUACCAAGGCGACGAUCCGUAGCUGGUCUGAGAGGACGACCAGCCACACUGGGACUGAGACACGGCCCAGACUCCUACGGGAGGCAGCAGUGGGGAAUAUUGGACAAUGGGGGCAACCCUGAUCUAGCGACGCCGCGUGUGUGAAGAAGGCCUGCGGGUUGUAAAGCACUUUUAGUGGGGAUGAAAAGCCGAAGGCUAAUACCUUUCGGUCUUGACCUAACCCAAAGAAAAGACACCGGCUAACUCUGUGCCAGCCGCCGCCGUAAC